UACGUAGGGGGCAAGCGUUGUCCGGAAUUAUUGGGCGUAAAGCGCGCGCAGGCGGUUGUUUAAGUCUGGUGUAUAAACCAAGGGCUCAACCUUUGGACGCAUUGGAAACUGGGCAACUGGAGUGUAGGAGAGGAAAGUGGAAUUCCACGUGUAGCGGUGGAAUGCGUAGAGAUCCGGAAGAACACCGGUGGCGAAGGCGGUUAGCUGGGCAGUUGCUGACACUGAGGCGCGACAGCGUGGGGAGCAAACAGG
rnacentral:rRNA from 1 species